rfam:Schistosoma rodhaini strain Burundi genome assembly, scaffold: SROB_scaffold0000665
AUCCAGUUGACGAGUCCCAAAUAGGACGAAACGCGCGUUACACUGGAU